AUGAAGACCUGCACCAUCGUUGGCAGAGUGCAGGCCAAGGGGCACCACUUCGUGAGAAUCGACGGAUACUCCCACACAAAGGCGAUGAUGGCCACCGGCGACCACGUCCUGUCCUGCGGCUUCCCCAUCGGCGGCCGCAUCUGGCGCGUCAAGUACUAUCCCAACGGCUCCGCCAAGGAGCAUGCCGACUGGAUCUCCGUCAGCCUUCUCGUCGACCCCGACACCAAGGCAGCCGCCGUGAAGGCGCGCUUCCGCUUCAGCCUUCUUGACACUGGCGGCGAGCCGGUGCCGGAAUACGUCACCAGCAGCAGCGAGAUACGAACGUUUCCGUCGCCGGGACCUAAAGCCGGGGGGUGGGCCUUCCCCCGCUUCGUCAAGCGACUCGACCUGGAGAACUCGGCGCACCUGAAGGACGACGGCUUCGCCAUCCGGUGCGACGUCGAUGUCAUGAGCGACCUGGGCCUGCACGUGGAGGAGACGUUCCUCGACGUGCCGGAGCCCGACCUGCGCGUCCACCUCGCCCGCCUCCUUCGCACCAAGGACGGCGCCGACGUGGCGUUCAAGGUCGGCGACGAGACGUUCGGUGCACACAGGUGCAUGCUCGCGGCACGGUCUCCGGUCUUCAAGGCGGAGAUCUCCGGCCACAAGGCUGAUACGUGCGUCAACAUCGACGGUAUGGAUGCUCCGGCGUUCCAGGCUUUGCUCCACUUCAUAUACACGGACUCCUUGCCGGACAUGGCCGGGCAAGACGUGCCUGCCGUGGUACGGCAGUUAAGUGCGGCGGCGGACAGAUAUCAAGUGGCAAGGCUAAAGUUGGUCUGCGAGGACAAGCUAAACAAAACCACGGCGACCGUGGAUCAGCGACAGCGGCAUCACCGCCACCGGUGGUUCAUGGGGACGUGCUUGGAGUUUGUGAAUUCGCUUCACCCUCGACGCCAACAACCACAACAUUCUCUCCCGUCGACGGCGACGCCGAGCUCCACGCCGUCCGCCUCGGCCAUUGUCGUCUCCGAGACGAGCGGGCACCACGUGCUCAAGAUCGAAGGCUACUCGCGGACGAAGAUGAUGCUCCAAAGGGGACAGCAUGUCGCCUCCGGAGAGUUCCAGGUUGGAGGCCACACAUGGCGCAUCAAGUACUACCCCAACGGCUGCGACCAGGGCAGCGCAGGCUACAUAUCCAUGCACCUCGAAUGCACGAUGGUCGCCACGGGCGUCGACGUCGUGCAUGCAAAAGUCAAGCUCAGCUUGCCCGGUCACGCCACGGAGUAUUUUCCGUUGUGUGCUUUCACCAAAGACAAGUGCACUUUCACCAAGCACGACACUUCCCUCAGCUUCGACAGAUUCGUCAAGAGGUCCGAGCUGGAGAGCUCAAGCUAUCUCAGGGAUGACUGCUUCAACGUCCGGUGCGACCUCGCCGUCUUCAUGAACGAGGUGCGCGUGGAGCCGGCGGUGGUGGUGCCGCCGCCCGCCCUGCCCCGGCACCUUUCCCAGAUGCUUUCCUAUCAGGAGGGGAGCGACGUGUCGUUCAAGGUUGGCCGCGAGACAUUCGCGGCGCACCGGUGCAUCCUUGCUGCCCGGUCACCGGUCUUCAAGGCAGAGCUCGUCGGCCCCAUGAAGGAGAACAAGAUGAGGCUCGUGCACAUCGAGGACAUGGACGCGGCCGUGUUCCAGGCACUGCUCCACUUCAUCUACACCGACGAGCUGCCCACCACGACCAGGAAAGAAGCGACAGCCAUGGCCCAGCACCUGCUCGUCGCGGCAGACAGAUACGACAUGGAGAGGCUAAAGCUUGUCUGCCAAGACAAGCUGUGCAGGCACCUCGACGCGGCCACCGCGGCGACGACCCUGGCACUGGCCGAGCAGCACCAGUACCCGCGGCUCAAGGAGGCCGUCUUCGCGUUUCUCUGCAGCUCGCCUGCCAACUUGAGAGCAGUCUUAGCGAGCGAUGGUUACGAGCAUCUGACUGCGAGUUGCCCCUCCAUUACCAAGGAGCUUGUCGCCAGGCUCGCAGCAACCCUCUAG
rnacentral:rRNA from 1 species